AGAACAAGCAAAGCACCACCUGUCACAUAGCCGAUUUUAAACCGUCCUCCCCGUCGAAUAUAAAAAAUUGCACACAGACGAGGAUGCAAAAAACAAAACACUAAAAAUACCACCACCAUAAUCACAUAUCAAUGGCAACAAACGAGUCCGAGAACAACAUAUGUUACAGCUUCGAACAAGUGGAGAAAGCUGAGGAACAGGUAAACGAAGAAGAAGUAUCGCAAUUAUGCAAAGAUCACUGCUCCGGCGUUUCUCCGCCCGACGGCGAGAAGGACCGGGAGCCCACCGGAGAGGUUGCAUGCUGCGACGACGGCUCCGGCGAUAAGUGCAGAGGGGGCCCACAACAAGACAGUCAUUUCAAGUUCAAGGGCAUGGAGUGAUGGUCAUAGAAACAGCUAUCAAGUCCUCAAAUGUUUUGUAAUUCUAUAAUCAUUAUCUGUGAUAGUAAAAUUUGUAUUUUUUUUCAAAUAAAAUAAAAUUUUACCUUUAUUAAAUCGCUUACUUAAAUUUUAAAAAUAAUUAUGCUUAAUAGAUAUCUAUGCACCAUGGGCAA
rnacentral:lncRNA from 1 species